rnacentral:lncRNA from 1 species
GAAACCCUAAAUUUAAUCCCGAGAAGAUGCAUGGUGCUUUCAUAGUCAUGAACUCACAGUGCAGCUUAGAUGCCACAUGGCAAAGCAGUGGGACCCAUUGUGGCUUUAAAUAUUUGUUUUAUAUUUCUUUAUUAAACUCCCUUUUUUUUCAACAGUCGCACCGCCCAAACAUACCUCAUUAAUCACCCAAUACAAAUUCACAAGUCGACAAUUGCUUGUGAACAAGUAGAGGAAAAACCACCAGCUCCAUUUG